AGAACGAACGCUGGCGGCAUGCCUAAUACAUGCAAGUCGAACGAACACUUCGGUGUUAGUGGCGCACGGGUGCGUAACGCGUGGGAAUCUGCCCUUGGGUUCGGAAUAACAGUUGGAAACGACUGCUAAUACCGGAUGAUAUCGAAAGAUCAAAGAUUUAUCGCCCAGGGAUGACGCCCGCGUAGGAUUAGCUAGUUGGUGAAGGUAAGGCUCACCGAAGGCGACGACUCCUUAGCGUGGUCUGAGGAGGAUGAUCACGCCCACACGUGGGACCUGGAACGACCGACCGGCCCAGACCUCCGUACGGGAGGCAGCAGGUAGGUAAUAGUGGACAAGUGGGCGACAACGCCUGACUCCGAGACAAGUCGCCG
rnacentral:rRNA from 1 species